rnacentral:tRNA from 1 species
UCCCUGGAGGAAUAGUGGUUAGCCCACAGCGCUCUCACUGCUGCAGCCCGGGUUCGAUUCCCGGCCAGAGAC